rnacentral:rRNA from 1 species
GACGAACGCUGGCGGCGUGCUUAACACAUGCGAGUCGAACGGAAAGGCCCUGCUUUUGUGGGGUGCUCGAGUGGCGAACGGGUGAGUAACACGUGAGUAACCUGCCCUUGACUUUGGGAUAACUUCAGGAAACUGGGGCUAAUACCGGAUAGGAGCUACUGCUGCAUGGGGGGGGAUGGAAAGUUUCGGCGGUUGGGGAUGGACUCGCGGCUUAUGAGCUUGUUGGUGGGGUAGUGGCUUACCAAGGCUUUGAAGGGUAGCCGGCCUGAGAGGGUGACCGGCCACAUUGGGACUGAGAUACGGCCCAGACUCCUACGGGAGGCAGCAGUGGGGAAUAUUGCACAAUGGGCGGACGCCUGAUGCAGCAACGCCGCGUGCGGGAUGACGGCCUUCGGGUUGUAAACCGCUUUCGCCUGUGACGAAGCGUGAGUGACGGUAAUGGGUAAAGAAGCACCGGCUAACUACGUG